CAAAGUUAAAAGACCAAAAUUGUCAAUUGACCACUUAAGGAGUUAUUGCCCUUUAAAGACAAUUUUGCACAAUUUGUUCAUCAUAUAAAAUUAAAGAUGUGGUGUAAUUUCCAAUGUGACAACUCUUCACAAAAGAUCAAAUGACACAGAAAUAAACAACUAUAGGUCACCAUAAAGCCUUCAACAAUGAGCAAACCCCAUACUGCAUAGUCAGCUUUAAAAGGCCCAGAAAUGUCAAAUGUAAAACAAUUCAAACGAGAAAACUAACGGCCUUAUUAAUUUACAAGUAAAUGAACGAAAAACAAAUAUGUAACACAGCAACAAACAAGAACCACUGAAUUGCAGGCUCCUGACUUGGGACAGGCACAUACAUACAUGAUGUGACAGGGUUAAACAUGUUAGCGAGAUCCCAACCCUCCCUAACAUAGGACAGUGGUGUAAUAGUACAACAUUGAAACGAACUAUAAAAAUCAGUUGAAAAAGGCUUAACUCAUCAGAUGGAUACAAAUAGAAAUAUAUCUAACAAAAACAGAGUGAAAGUGGCUGGGCACUUAUACAUCCCAACAACAAAAAGACCAUAAGUACAGAUCUGAGAGUACUCACAGUUACUGACAGCUAGUUCAAAGCCAUUAACAAUUAAUAAAAAAAA
rnacentral:lncRNA from 1 species